GGAUUAGAUACCCUGGUAGUCCACGCCGUAAACGGUGGGUACUAGGUGUGGGUUUCUUUCACGGGAUCCGUGCCGUAGCUAACGCAUUAAGUACCCCGCCUGGGGAGUACGGCCGCAAGGCUAAAACUCAAAGGAAUUGACGGGGGCCCGCACAAGCGGCGGAGCAUGUGGAUUAAUUCGAUGCAACGCGAAGAACCUUACCUGGGUUUGACAUACACCAGACGCAGGCAGAGAUGUCUGUUCCCUUGUGGUUGGUGUACAGGUGGUGCAUGGCUGUCGUCAGCUCGUGUCG
rnacentral:rRNA from 1 species